UACGUAGGGGCCGAGCGUUGUCCGGAGUUAUUGGGCGUAAAGCGCGCGCAGGCGGCCUCGCGCGCCCGACGUGAAAGCCCCGGCUUAACCGGGGAGGGUCGUUGGGGACGGCGGGGCUUGAGGGCGGGAGAGGUCGGUGGAAUUCCCGGUGUAGUGGUGAAAUGCGUAGAGAUCGGGAGGACACCUGUGGCGAAGGCGGCCGACUGGGCCGACCCUGACGCUGAGGCGCGAAGGCGUGGGUAGCAAACAGG
rnacentral:rRNA from 1 species